rfam:Triticum aestivum genome assembly, contig: Triticum_aestivum_CS42_TGACv1_scaffold_131129_2BL
CAUAUACUCCCUCCGUCCGAAAAUACUUGUCAUCAAAAUGGAUAAAAAUGGAUAGAUACAUCCAUUUUUAUCCAUUUUGAUGACAAGUAUUUCUAGACGGAGGGAGUAGUAU